UUUGUCAUCGGGGGUAUUAUGA
rnacentral:miRNA from 3 species